GACGAACGCUGGCGGCGUGCUUAACACAUGCAAGUCGAACGGAAAGGCCCUGCUUUUGUGGGGUGCUCGAGUGGCGAACGGGUGAGUAACACGUGAGUAACCUGCCCUUGACUUUGGGAUAACUUCAGGAAACUGGGGCUAAUACCGGAUAGGAGCUCCUGCUGCAUGGUGGGGGUUGGAAAGUUUCGGCGGUUGGGGAUGGACUCGCGGCUUAUCAGCUUGUUGGUGGGGUAGUGGCUUACCAAGGCUUUGACGGGUAGCCGGCCUGAGAGGGUGACCGGCCACAUUGGGACUGAGAUACGGCCCAGACUCCUACGGGAGGCAACAGUGGGGAAUAUUGCACAAUGGGCGGAAGCCUGAUGCAGCAACGCCGCGUGCGGGAUGACGGCCUUCGGGUUGUAAACCGCUUUCGCCUGUGACGAAGCGUGAGUGACGGUAAUGGGUAAAGAAGCACCGGCUAACUACGUGCCAGCAGCCGCGGUGAUACGUAGGGUGCGAGCGUUGUCCGGAUUUAUUGGGCGUAAAGGGCUCGUAGGUGGUUGAUCGCGUCGGAAGUGUAAUCUUGGGGCUUAACCCUGAGCGUGCUUUCGAUACGGGUUGACUUGAGGAAGGUAGGGGAGAAUGGAAUUCCUGGUGGAGCGGUGGAAUGCGCAGAUAUCAGGAGGAACACCAGUGGCGAAGGCGGUUCUCUGGGCCUUUCCUGACGCUGAGGAGCGAAAGCGUGGGGAGCGAACAGGCUUAGAUACCCUGGUAGUCCACGCUGUAAACGGUGGGUACUAGGUGUGGGGUCCAUUCCACGGGUUCCGUGCCGUAGCUAACGCUUUAAGUACCCCGCCUGGGGAGUACGGCCGCAAGGCUAAAACUCAAAGGAAUUGACGGGGCCCCGCACAAGCGGCGGAGCAUGCGGAUUAAUUCGAUGCAACGCGUAGAACCUUACCUGGGUUUGACAUGGAUCGGGAGUGCUCAGAGAUGGGUGUGCCUCUUUUGGGGUCGGUUCACAGGUGGUGCAUGGCUGCCGUCAGCUCGUGUCGUGAGAUGUUGGGUUAAGUCCCGCAACGAGCGCAACCCUUGUUCACUGUUGCCAGCACGUUAUGGUGGGGACUCAGUGGAGACCGCCGGGGUCAACUCGGAGGAAGGUGGGGAUGACGUCAAGCCAUCAUGCCCCUUAUGUCCAGGGCUUCACGCAUGCUACAAUGGCUGGUACAGAGAGUGGCGAGCCUGUGAGGGUGAGCGAAUCUCGGAAAGCCGGUCUCAGUUCGGAUUGGGGUCUGCAACUCGACCUCAUGAAGUCGGAGUCGCUAGUAAUCGCAGAUCAGCAACGCUGCGGUGAAUACGUUCCCGGGGCU
rnacentral:rRNA from 1 species